AUCGCCAAGAAGUGUCACAGAGUAAAAGAUUCGAAUAAAUGCUGCUGACAUAAGCAUUGAUAAUUAAGGUAUUAGAACAAUAUUCAGAUAUACCAGGGCCU